rnacentral:rRNA from 1 species
UACAGAGGUCUCAAGCGUUGUUCGGAUUCAUUGGGCGUAAAGGGUGUGUAGGUGGCGCCGUAAGUCGGGUGUGAAAUUUCGGAGCUUAACUCCGAAACUGCAUUCGAUACUGCGGUGCUUGAGGACUGGAGAGGAGACUGGAAUUCCUGGUGUAGCGGUGGAAUGCGCAGAUAUCAGGAGGAACACCGAUGGCGAAGGCAGGUCUCUGGGCCAUUACUGACACUGAGAAGCGAAAGCAUGGGGAGCGAACAGG